rnacentral:lncRNA from 1 species
ACCGGCUGGGCUGCCCUAAAUCCGCCUCUGCUUGGGAGCUGGAUCUUCCUCCGCUUCCACUUCUACCCCACUCCAAAUCUGCCUCUACAGCAGCCUCGGGGCAAAGAGGAGGCGCCACUGGUCUCUUCCCGCCUUUCUUCGCCAUUUGAUCUUGAUCCCCCAACAAUCUCCAUUCUCCCCUUCUUCCCUGGGGGGGGGGGGGGAACAGUUUUGGGACUCGUCUCAGGGGACCAAAUGUCUUGGGCCGGCCCUGCUGACCCCCCUGCAGGAGUAAGUCUGGCCAAGGUGGCUGGGACGUCAGCUCAGGCAAAUGCAACCCAGGGAGGAUUUCACCCUGAAGCCUGUGCCCCCUUUUCAUCUUUGCCUCCUUUUCUGAACCUGCCCCUGGGAAUUCGGCUGGUGUUUCUCUCCCUCCUCCAUAAGGAAAGCCCUGAGCACUAGCAUUCCCUGGGCGGUUGCCAGAUGCUGAGGGGUGAGCACUCUGCACAUGCCUGGGAGUAAACCAUCUACCAGCUCCUGUUAGAUUUCCUUAGGUGAGAGAAAGGGUUUCUAGAGUGAUAGCCUAGUAGGUGCCUCCCAGAACUCAUUGGAGGAAGACUAACUGUCAAAAACGAGGACACAGAUAUCAUUCAAUGGCUCUGUGCUAAUUUAAGGUAAUAUAAAUUUGUGUUUUUUGAAGUAUGGUUGAUUCCCCCCCCACACACAAUUUUAUUAUUUUAUCUGUUUGUAAAACAAAAAACUGCAAAGUGGUUUACUAUCAAGUGGGGUAUACAUUUAAUGAAAUAAAUAAACAAAUGGGCAAAGGCAACUUAAAAAAAUAAAUUCUUUUUUUAAAAAAAUGAUAUUUAUUGAAAAAUUUUUAGAAUUACAAAAAAAAAAAAAACAAAGCAGAAAAAAAAAGUGCUGCUGCUGCACCGUGAGUGUGGGGGAAGGCCGCUCCCUCCUCAGGCUAACUCCAUCUGGCCUAGGGGGCGGGGCCCUGACUCACCUUCGCCACAGCUUUAAGAGGCCUCAUUGAGGCACUGGGACAUCGCUGCUGCUGCUGCACCGUGAGUGUGGGGGAAGGCCGCUCCCUCCUCAGGCUAACUCCAUCUGGCCUAGGGGGCGGGGCCCUGACUCACCUUCGCCACAGCUUUAAGAGGCCUCAUUGAGGCACUGGGACAUCGCUGCUGCUGCUGCACCGUGAGUGUGGGGAAGGCCGCUCCUCCUCAGGCUAACUCCAUCUGGCCUAGGAGGCGGGGCCCUGACUCACCUUCGCCACAGCUUUAAGAGGCCUCAUUGAGGCACUGGGACAUCGCUGCUGCUGCUGCACCGUGAGUGUGGGGGAAGGCCGCUCCCUCCUCAGGCUAACUCCAUCUGGCCUAGGAGGCGGGGCCCUGACUCACCUUCGCCACAGCUUUAAGAGGCCUCAUUGAGGCACUGGGACAUCGCUGCUGCUGCUGCACCGUGAGUGUGGGAGAAGGCCGCUCCCUCCUCAGGCUAACUCCAUCUGGCCUAGGGGGCGGGGCCCUGACUCACCUUCGCCACAGCUUUAAGAGGCCUCAUUGAGGCACUGGGACAUCGCUGCUGCUGCUGCACCGUGAGUGUGGGGGAAGGCCGCUCCCUCCUCAGGCUAACUCCAUCUGGCCUAGGGGGCGGGACCCAGACUCACCUUCACCACAGCUUUAAGAGACCUCAUUGAGGCACUGGGACAUCGCUGCUGCUGCUGCACCGUGAGUGUGGGGGAAGGCCGCUCCCUCCUCAGGCUAACUCCACCUGGCCUAGGGGGCGGGACCCAGACUCACCUUCGCCACAGCUUUAAGAGGCCUCAUUGAGGCACUGGGACAUCGCUGCUGCUGCUGCACCGUGAGUGUGGGGGAAGGCCGCUCCCUCCUCAGGCUAACUCCAUCUGGCCUAGGGGGCGGGACCCAGACUCACCUUCACCACAGCUUUAAGAGACCUCAUUGAGGCACUGGGACAUCGCUGCUGCUGCUGCACCGUGAGUGUGGGGGAAGGCCGCUCCCUCCUCAGGCUAACUCCACCUGGCCUAGGGGGCGGGACCCAGACUCACCUUCGCCACAGCUUUAAGAGGCCUCAUUGAGGCACUGGGACAUCGCUGCUGCUACUGCACCGUGAGUGUGGGGGAAGGCCGCUCCCUCCUCAGGCUAACUCCACCUGGCCUAGGGGCGGGGCCCAGACUCUCACCUCCGCUACAGCUUUAAGGACACUGGUGCUCCUGCAGCAAAUGUUAAAAAUGUUUUUAUAUAUUUUAAAGUGUUUUAAAGGUGUUUUUACUUUUUACUUUGUUGUACCACCGUGAACAGUGGUUUUUAUCUAUGUAUUUUUAUUUUGUUCCGUUUUAUUGUGGUUUGGGGUGGGGAUUGGUUUUGUUUAGGUUUAAUUGUUUUUGGUUUGUUUUGUUUUUCUAUUUUAUAAAUGGAGGCUUGUAUGAGGCUUGGGAUUGCUACCGUGGAGGGGCGAGGGAGGUAUGGUGGUGGGGGCAGAUGUUAUAGGCGAAGGGGAUCGAGAUACGGAUAUGCUCGUACCCCUUCCAAUCUGCGCCCCAUCCCGAGGGACGAGGGUAGGGUGAGCAAGGAUUACUCACCUCCGUCACUGGUGCUGUGCAAUGCCAGGUCUAUAGGCAAAAAACCGCCACUCUGCGAGAUUUCAUUACCUCGCAGGGGGUUGACCUGGCUUGUGCGACAGAGACCUGGGUACGCGAAGGGGCAACAGUUACCUUACAAGAAAUGGCGCCCCCGGGUUUCUCCGUCCUCCACCAGUCACGGACUGUGGGCCGGGGGGGAGGGGUGGCAUUAUUAAUCCGGGAAGACUGUUCUUUCAGGGCUCUACCAUCGCCAUCGAUCCCCGGCAUUGAAUGUGUUGGCCUAGUGUGGGGCUCUGAGGUGAGCUUGGCUGUCUGGCUGGUGUACCGGCCACCUAGCGCACCAGCAGCCACCCUGUCAGGCCUGCUGGAGGCGGUGGCCGGCUGGGCCUUGGAGUUCCCUAACCUAUUGGUAUUGGGGGACUUCAACAUCCAUGCUGAUGCCACUCCCUCCUCACAGGCUCUGGACCUGGUGUCUUCCAUGGCGACACUAGGGCUCUCCCAGUUUGUUUCAGGCCCCACACAUCAAGCAGGCCACACGCUGGAUUUGAUCUUUGGCGUAGGUAUAGAUAUGAUCAUGUCUCCUUCAAUAAAGGUGCCAUGGUCUGAUCACUACGCGCUGAAAGCCAGGAUUGAUUUUCCACCCCCACCCUGCUUAGGUGGCGAGCCGAUUUGGGCUCGCCCGCAGAGGCUGAUGGACCCUGAUAGAUUCCAUCAAGCCUUGCGGGACCUUGCUCCCCCUGGCGACUCAUUGACUGAGCUUGUUGAGGGCUGGAAUAUCCAGCUCCUGGCAGCCAUAGAUGAGAUCGCACCUAUGCGCCCUCUGCGACUCCGCAGAAACCGGGCUCCCUGGUUUACCGAGGAGCUUCGGAAAAUGAAGCGGGACCUCAGACGGCUAGAGCGAGUAUGGCGGGGUGCCCGUGACGGAGCCUCAAGAACAUCUUACAGGGUUUUUAUGAAAACCUAUGAGAUGGCAGUGAAGGCCGCUAAGAAGUCUUACUUCUCGGCCUCCAUUGCAUCCGCUAGCUCUCGCCCGGCGCAAUUAUUUAGUAUAAUUAGGUCUUUAACGUCCCUUGAAGGACAGCCAAAUUUAAAUAACAAUCUGACACACAGCUGUGAGGCAUUUGCGAGCUUUUUGCGGAGAAGGUCCUGUUGCUCCGCCAUGACCUCCCUGCCAAUUUGGAUACAAUAAAGGAACUGGAGGCCCCUCGACUGUCCUCGGGUCCAGUAUUGGACCACUUUGAUCGGAUAUCCCCAGCCGAUGUGGACAGACUCCUCCGAGCUGGAAAGCCCACCACCUGUCCUCUUGACCCGUGCCCAUGAUUAGAGCAUGUCCAGACGAGGUGCGGGCCCCCCUGGGGGAUAUCAUCAACUUGUCCCUUGGCACCGGGAUAUUUCCAGGGGAAUUGAAGGAGGCAGUGGUGCGCCCGCUCUUAAAGAAAACAUCAUUAGAUCCCUUAGAUCUAUCCAAUUACCGCCCGGUUUCGAAUCUUCCAUUCCUGGGUAAGGUGAUUGAGAGAGCGGUUGCUGAACAGCUUGGUAGGUUUCUGGAUGCAACAUCGGCUCUGGAUCCAUUCCAGUCCGGCUUCCGCGCUGGUCAUGGGACCGAGACGGCUCUGGUCGCCCUAACAGACGAUCUCCGUAGGCAGCUGGAUCGAGGCGGGUCGGGGCUGCUGAUUCUUCUAGACCUGUCAGCAGCCUUUGACAUGGUCGAUCACGAACUCCUGGACCACCGCCUUGCCGACGUGGGGAUCCAGGGCACAGUCCUUCAAUGGCUGCGCUCAUUUCUCUCUGGUCGGGGACAGAGGGUGGCGCUUGGGGGGGAAUUGUCAUCGCGCCACUCCUUGGUGUGUGGAGUGCCUCAGGGUGCGAUUCUCUCCCCGAUGCUUUUAACAUCUUUAUGCGCCCCCUCGUCCAGCUUGUCCGGAGUUUUGGGCUGGGUUGCCAUCAGUAUGCCGAUGACACCCAACUCUAUCUGUUGAUGGAUGGCCAUCCUGACUCGGACCCAGACACACUGACCAGAUGUUUGGAAGCUGUGGCUGGAUGGUUACGUGGAAGCCGGUUGAAGUUAAAUCCUUCGAAGACAGAGGUCCUCUGGCUGGGACGGGACGAUAUGGGAUUGGGGGGGCAACUCCCAUCUCUUGCGGGGGUGCAAUUAGUGCCAGCACCUUCCGUUAAGAGUUUGGGUGUAAUCUUCGAUACCUCCCUCUCUAUGGAGGCGCAGAUUACAACUAUAACAAAGGCGGCAUUUUUUCAUCUCCGCCAAGCUAAGCAGUUGGCCCCUUAUCUCUCUCGCCCUGACCUAGCCACUGUGAUCCACGCGACGGUCACCUCCAGACUGGAUUAUUGUAACUCGCUCUACGUGGGGCUGCCCUUGAGACUGACCCAGAAACUCCAGCGGGUGCAGAAUGCCGCGGCGAGACUCCUUAUGGGGUCUUCGCUGCGAGAUCACAUUCAUCCGGUACUAUACCAGCUGCACUGGCUCCCGGUGGAGUACAGGAUCAGGUUUAAGGUGCUGGUUUUAACCUUUAAAGCCCUAUACGGCCUAGGACCCUCGUACCUACGGGACCGCCUCUCCUGGUAUGCCCCACAGAGGAACCUACGGUCUGCAAAUAAAAACAUCCUGAAGGUCCCAGGCCUCAGAGAGGUUAGGCUGGCCUCAACUAGAGCCAGGGCUUUCUCGGCUGCAGCUCCAAUCUGGUGGAACGCUCUGUCACAAGAGACUAGGGCCCUGCGGGACCUGACAUCUUUCCGCAAGGCCUGCAAGACAGAGUUGUUCCACCAGGCCUUUGGUCAGGGCCCAGCCUGACUCCCUCCUCUGGCAACCUGCACAGAACUUUGCUUAAUGAUUGCCAUUAAUUUGAUUUUAAUUAAUUUUUAUAAUGAAAUGUUUUAGAAUGUUGGAUUAUUUGAUUGUUUGAUUAUUUGAUUGUUGUUAGCCGCCCUGAGCCCGGCUUUGGCUGGGGAGGGCGGGAUAUAAAUAAAAUUUAUUAUUAUUAUUAUUAUUAUUAUUAUUAAAAAAGAGAAAACAAAGGAAAAACACACCACAUCAAACAAUACAAAUUCAAAACAAACAAAAAUACACCACAAACAGACAAAAACAAAACCAUCAUUCUCGAAUCCUCAACUUUCAUUACCUUCUUUCUUUGACCUCCUUCUCCUCCCUUUUUUGUAUCCUGGUUAUUAAUUAUCGCAGCAAAUCCUUUCCAUAUUUCAUAAUAUUCUGUCAUUACAUUACCUUAAUCUAUUUUCAUCUUAUCUUAUAGAAAACCUUAAAACUUAAAGCUUAAAUCAGGAGUGUGCCCUGACAGAACAGAUGAGGGAAGAGGAUGUUGCUGAAUCUUGGGCGCCAGAGAUGGAGGGAGCUGUGGCCCAACAGGAACAUGAGCUUUUGGAUUUGACAAAUGAACUUGGAAAAAGCCAGAUUUGGAAAGAUAAAGUUUGGACUGGUUUGGAAAUGGGGGGCUGGAUAGACCCCCCUAUGCAGGGAUGUUUGGACUUUUCAAGUCUGGCAAUGGGCCGUGAGAUGUUUGGGGUUGUGGGGGCUCCUAAUUUUGGAGGGAUUUUGAAACAUGUUCUUAAAUACCACAUGGAGUUUAGUGUGGAUUAUGGAAAAGGGGCUGAUCUGUCGAGAAGGGUCAAAAACAUUGUUAAGCUGGAGUUCCCACGAGUGAAACGAGCAGGAGACAAGGGAAAAUAGUUAUAAAUAUGAAGAAGAGCUGCGGAAGGGACAUGGAAGAGACUUAAGGGCCUCGGAUACAAGGUUACCAGGUUAAUGCGCUAGAUCGAUGGGAUAAUAAGGACUGACAAAACCCGGGACCAGGAGGAAGGGACGCUGGAUGAAGAUUGGAUUGUUUUUAUUUCUUUUCUUACUACUAGGAUUGUUUUAUAAAAUUGAUGAAUGUUGGAAAAAUGUUGAAAUAAAAUUACUUGGCUUUAGUAAAAAUGUUUAAAGAAUUAUGUAAGAAUAUUAUGGUUAUGAGAAGUUGGUAAAAAUAAGAUUUAAGUUUUAAGUUUCAAGGUUUUUUAUAGUAAGAUAAGAUUAAAAUAGUUUAAGGUAAUGUAAUGACAGAAUAUUAUGAAAUAUGGAAAGGAUUUGCUGCGACAAUUAACAACUAGGAUACAAAAAAAGGGGGGAGGAGGAGGUCAAAGAAAGAAGGUAAUGAAAGUUGAGGAUUCGAGAAUGAUGGUUUUGUUUUUGUCUGUGGUGUAUUUUUUUUUUUAAUUUGUAUUGUUUGAUGUGGUUUGUUUUUUCUUUGCGCUUUCUUUUUUUUCUACUUUGUUUUCUUUUGUAAUUUGAAAAAAAAAAUUCCAAUAAAUAUCAUUAAAAAAAAAAAAAAAGAGUAAACGGGAAUAUUUUCAAAUUCCUAAGGAAACACAAUAAUGAUGAAGACGGGGCAGCUCAUUAGAGAGAGCAUUCCGCAACCGGGGAACAUCUUUAAAUGGGCUGACCAUCCAGAUUAAAUUAAAGCAAUUUAAACCAACUACAACGGCACUGUCAUUUUAUUUAUUUAUUUAGGUUUUUAAAAGAUUAACAUACGAAUCCUAACUUGCAGGUACCAGCUUGGAAAAGACAUUCUUAGUGCAAGGAAUUCCUCUUCUAAGAUGGCGGGUGCCCUUGCAUAUCCAAUGCACCGUUUUUAAAGGAACGUAAGCUGUUUCCUAAGUCUUCAAAACCAGCGAAAAAUGAAUGCAAAUUUAAUCAUAUGUUAAUAAAAUAUAGCUUGCUUACAUAGAUUUCUUUCUUCGGUUGCCGCCGCUAUAUACGGUAUUAUUCGCAUUUGAUGCGAUUGCUGGCAGUUAACAUCCAAGCAAUGUACAUGUACAAUGUACAAUGUACCAUCCAAGGCAAUGUACUAAUUUAUUUAGACGGCAGAGGCUGGAAUGAGGGGUAUUGGAAUUAAGUUGUUCCAGGCUUCUUUGUCGAUAUGAAAUAAUUUACACUUGCUUCUUUUUAGAACAACAAAAACCUUUUAAAAAAGAGAGUACCCGUUUAAGACACAAAGUGUGUGUGUGGGGAGGUGUUCUUUGGUUGGACCUCGCAAGUGUGUUUUUUGUACAAUGCGGGUGUGCCUUGACAAAGAAAAUGCGCAGCAGGCACCCGAAAUCUCUCUCUCUCCCCUCACCUCUCAAUUCUCUUCCAUUCAGUUGAAGAGUCAAUUGCCAAAGGGGUGUCGACGGAGGGAGGGGUUAGACCCAGUUUGGCAAAGCAACUGAUUUUUUGAAAGAGAAUGUAACUCUUUCUAUUGGUUGAGAAGUAAGGGUGAAACGCAAAAAUGAUGAAGACGGGGCUGCUCACUGGGAGGGCAUUCCGCAACCGGGGAACCUCGUAUUGGUGGAGAAAUAAGGAUGGGAUCGCCCACCGGAGAUAAAUGCCCAGACCAAACCCCCAGCAGAAUAGCAGUGAACCUGAGGGAGUGAACCUGAGGGAUCUUAGUGUCCAUUUUUAAAGCAAAACCAAUUCAGGAGAGAGCGAGAAAGAGUUUUUUCAUGAUGGCAACCAACAACGAAGGUAAGAGAAACUUUUAAAAAAAAAAAAGAUUAUUAAGCCCUGAGCUUUCCAUGUCGGGAGGAAGAUCUGCAAGCGUCGCUUCAGUUUAAGCUAACCAAGCGCUUCCUUCAGAUUUGCCUCUUGGUUUUUUCCCAGGAGGAAGCUACCCCAAAGGAGGAGAUAGGAGAAAAAGGAAAGUUUUUACCACAGCCCAAAUCGAGCUUUUAAAGAAGGGGUUUGAAAAAAACGUGUACCCCGGAUACCAGACCAGGGAGGCGCUGGCGAGGAGCAUCAGAGUCGAGGAAGAUCGUGUGCACGUAAGAAGGGGGAAAGCGGGGGUUCCUAGGACUUCCUUAAAUCGCAAAUGCUGGAUAAAUUUAAAACAUUCAGAAUAAUUCUUUCGUUGUCAUUCGAAUGCCUUUGCUCAUCCAGGUGCCUCCAAGCUUAACGUGAAAGGUUCCUUAGUCAAGAGCCAAAUUCCUCUUUCCUGGGUUUUUGUGGGGUUUUAUUUCGGGGGGGGGCGUGUUGUACCGUGGAUGUAAAGGCUUUUUGUAAGGGAUGGGUGCGUUGUGUCCCCUCCUUUUCAAAUUUAGGAAGAAACUGUGCCCAUACUUGUUUAGAAAUCCUGGUUCCUGAUUAAGGCUUCCUUUUCCUUCCCAGUCAAAUGAUUGGUGGCACAUACUUUCAAAUUUCAAAGGUUCUGGGUUUGAACAGUAAAAACUCUUAACAGACCUGGUUUCAACUCUAAUUUGAGGCUAAAACCAUCCGGUUUUCUGGGCCGCCUUUAUAGCCUGAUCCACCUGACCGAACUCCCAAGGGAGUGUGCAUAGGAUAUUCCUAUUAGGAUUGCAGCAUUCAGGACCUUGCAUUGAGAGAUCAAAUGUGCAGCAUUCAGCUGGAACCACAGUUAAGCAACAUUACUUUUCUAGCCAAUGUCCCGCAAGUCCCUAGUUCUCCCACACUGAAAAAAUUACACCACAUGAGGCACAAAUAUUUGGCGGUCCUCUGAGCUAGAAAGUGAAAUUAUGACCUAUCCAUUUGGAAAUAAUGGGCAUUUUGUUCUCUCCUUUCUUUUGUUCAGACCUGGUUUCAGAACAGAAGAGCGAGAACAAAGGUUCCAAAAUAAUGAUCAGGAACUGACCUACAGCUCCUUAUAGCCGCUGUGACAGAAGAAGAAGUCCAUUA